AACGAACGCUGGCGGCAGGCUUAACACAUGCAAGUCGAGCGAAGACUUCGGUCUUAGCGGCGGACGGGUGAGUAACGCGUGGGAACGUGCCUUUCACUACGGAAUAGUCCCGGGAAACUGGGUUUAAUACCGUAUACGCCCUUCGGGGAAAGAAUUUCGGUGAGAGAUCGGCCCGCGUCUGAUUAGGUAGUUGGUGGGGUAAUGGCCUACCAAGCCGACGAUCCAUAGCUGGUUUGAGAGGAUGAUCAGCCACACUGGGACUGAGACACGGCCCAGACUCCUACGGGAGGCAGCAGUGGGGAAUAUUGCACAAUGGAGGAAACUCUGAUGCAGCAAUGCCGCGUGAGUGAA
rnacentral:rRNA from 1 species